rnacentral:lncRNA from 1 species
GUCGCAGGCGGCCGGGCGGGGAGGCAGGGCGCGCGCCGCGGUUCCAGCCCGGCUCCCGGAGUGGCCAGGCGGCAAAGGUGCGUGUCUGGAAAGCCCUUUCCAGUCUUGGCAUUAGCAAAGCAGGUUCUGGACCUGGAACGCCGAGCGAGCAGGCUGAAGGGGCGCCCGCUGCCCGCUCCGUGGGCCUGAGCUGAGCCGAGCGAGGUGAGGCGCUGGCACGUUGUGCCCACCCCAGAAGAACCGUUGCGGGGUGAAUGAGGCGCCGUGACAGCAUCCUAGCCUGGUGAAGAGGAGACAGAAAGAUCCCCCGGCGCGGUCCAUCCUGACACUGAGACGUCGUGGGGCUCUGCGAAAUCCCACCCCUUCCCCGCCAAAAAAAAAGGUGUGGGAGGAGAACACCCCCCAAACCCAAAUCCACCAGGACUCUGGAGAACUUGCAGAAAGGGACGGCAGGCAGAUCCCUAGCUGGACCCCUCCGCUGCAAAUCUGAUCCCCUUCGGCUGGCCAGCUGCUCUCGGCUCCUGUUGGCAUCAGUGGCUGACCGCCGGACAACGCCGCUUUGAGAUCCACUCGCUGCAUCCAGGGCUGAAGACUGUUUGCUCGUUCUUCCCUCCACCCCGCCCUAUGUUGGUAUUCUCAGCAUCGGAGCAGGGGACAUUUGAAGGCUGAGGAAGCUUUCGCUUUUUGGGAGACCCUUGCAAACCCGGGGGAGCACGCUACCUGCGGAAUCCUUGCCGGACGCAAGUAUUCUUGCUCAUGGCGAGCCCACUCUGGUGAGAGGCGCAGAGCCGGGCUGCUUCAGAGAACUGCGAGCAAGAAUUCUGUCCUGCAGCCAAAAGGGGGCCGGGGGAAAGGCUCCUUCCCGCAGCCGCAGCAGGAGGAGGAGGAGGCGGAAAGAGGAGGGAGGGGGAGGCCUUGGGCUCGCUAACCCUCGCCUCGCCUUAGUUCGCCUUGGAGGGGAUGCCGACCGCAAGCCCUGGCCGCGCCGUUUAAUGCUCCGCGCGGGCCCUCCGACGCGCAGUGGGUCUUACGUGGAGCGGGGUUGGACGCGUUGGCCCCCGGUGACUGCUCCGACAUCGGAUUUCAGAUGCAUGCCAGGUUUCCAGUGAAUGCC